rnacentral:rRNA from 1 species
ACUCGAGUGGCGAACGGGUGAGUAACACGUGGGUGAUCUGCCCUGCACUUCGGGAUAAGCCUGGGAAACUGGGUCUAAUACCGGAUAGGACCACAUUUUGGAUGGUGUGGUGGAAAGUUUUUCGGUGUGGGAUGAGCUCGCGGCCUAUCAGCUUGUUGGUGGGGUAAUGGCCUACCAAGGCGUCGACGGGUAGCCGGCCUGAGAGGGUGUACGGCAACAUUGGGACUGAGAUACGGCCCAG